UACGUAGGGUGCGAGCGUUAAUCGGAAUUACUGGGCGUAAAGUGUGCGCAGGCGGCAGAGCAAGUCGAGUGUGAAAGCCCCGGGCUUAACUUGGGAAUUGCGCUCGAAACUACUUUGCUGGAGUGUGGCAGAGGAAGGUGGAAUUCCACGUGUAGCGGUGAAAUGCGUAGAGAUGUGGAGGAACACCAAUGGCGAAGGUAGCCUUCUGGGCCAACACUGACGCUCAUGCACGAAAGCGUGGGGAGCAAACAGG
rnacentral:rRNA from 1 species